rnacentral:rRNA from 2 species
AAGGUCAGCGACUGGGGUGAAGUCGUAACAAGGUAGCCGUAGGGGAACCUGCGGCUGGAUCACCUCCUUUCUAAGG